rnacentral:rRNA from 1 species
AUUGAACGCUGGCGGCAGGCCUAACACAUGCCAGUCGAGCGGAUGAAGGGAGCUUGCUCCUGGAUUCAGCGGCGGACGGGUGAGUAAUGCCUAGGAAUCUGCCUGGUAGUGGGGGAUAACGUCCGGAAACGGGCGCUAAUACCGCAUAAGUCCUGAGGGAGAAAGUGGGGGAUCUUCGGACCUCACGCUAUCAGAUGAGCCUAGGUCGGAUUAGCUAGUUGGUGGGGUAAAGGCCUACCAAGGCGACGAUCCGUAACUGGUCUGAGAGGAUGAUCAGUCACACUGGAACUGAGACACGGUCCAGACUCCUACGGGAGGCAGCAGUGGGGAAUAUUGGACAAUGGGCGAAAGCCUGAUCCAGCCAUGCCGCGUGUGUGAAGAAGGUCUUCGGAUUGUAAAGCACUUUAAGUUGGGAGGAAGGGCAGUAAGUUAAUACCUUGCUGUUUUGACGUUACCAACAGAAUAAGCACCGGCUAACUUCGUG